GACGAACGCUGGCGGCGUGCUUAACACAUGCAAGUCGAACGGAAAGGCCCUGCUUUUGUGGGGUGCUCGAGUGGCGAACGGGUGAGUAACACGUGAGUAACCUGCCCUUGACUUUGGGAUAACUUCAGGAAACUGGGGCUAAUACCGGAUAGGAGCUCCUGCUGCAUGGUGGGGGUUGGAAAGUUUCGGCGGUUGGGGAUGGACUCGCGGCUUAUCAGAUUGUUGGUGGGGUAGUGGCUUACCAAGGCUUUGACGGGUAGCCGGGCUGAGAGGGUGAGCGGCCACAUUGGGACUGAGAUACGGCACAGACUCGUACGGGAGGCAGCAGUGGGGAAGAUUGCACAAUGGGCGGAAGCCUGAUGCAGCAACGCCGCGUGCGGGAUGACGGCCUGCGGGUUGUAAACCGCUUUCGCCUGUGACGAAGCGUGAGUGACGGUAAUGGGUAAAGAAGCACCGGCUAACUACGUG
rnacentral:rRNA from 1 species